rnacentral:rRNA from 1 species
UACGUAGGGUCCGAGCGUUGUCCGGCUUUAUUGGGCGUAAAGAGCUCGUAGGCGGUUCCGUAAGUCAGAUGUGAAAACUCAGGGCUCAACCCGGAGACGCCAUCUGAUACUGCGGUGACUGGAGUCUGGUAGGGGAACACGGAAUUCCUGGUGUAGCGGUGAAAUGCGCAGAUAUCAGGAGGAACACCGAUGGCGAAGGCAGUGUUCUGGGCCAGUACUGACGCUGAGGAGCGAAAGCGUGGGGAGCAAACAGG